rnacentral:piRNA from 1 species
UGAGAACCAUAGUGACCUAAUUCAAUG